GAAUACUGUGUGGUUGUCUGACAGUAUUCAGACACAAAGUUGUGUGGUGAUAUUUCUUUCCUAGUUUGUUAAAUCAGUUGAAAUAUAUGUAGGCCAGGAUCCUGACUUAGUCCUACUUAGAGCAGACCCACCAUGAUGGUUAAGUGGUUCUGUUUAUAAGUGGUUGUGCAGUGUGUGGCUCUCCCUUCUUAUCACAGCAUGUCAGUUUUGCAGUUCCAGUUUGUGUAGCCAAUAAAAAGGGGUGGAAGAGAUGUGAAGAAUCUUUCACACUGAAAGUACUAUAUACAAAUUUAUGUUUAUGUGAGUGAUCUGUAGUGAUUAUAUGAUGGCUUGUGACCAUUUGUUGGGUUGUGCUAAUAUGUGAUGUAAUUGCUAAUGCUAGCCAUAUUACAAUAGUUUGCAGAAUGUAACUGUACAAAUAUUUCAAGACAACGACAGGCAAACCUCGUUACUCGGGAGGGUUCCAUUCCUCGCCUACUACCACGAGUUAAUGAAACUUCAGGUAACAAGGCAUUAUGCCUAUGGGGAAAGGAAGGUUACGUACCUAGAUUGAUUAAAAAGGGCAAAAAAAAAAAAGUCCAAAAAAUAAUGGGGGGAAUGACUGCAGAGAGCUCCAUGGAGCCUCCUUGUGCCCAGCAAUGCCCCCCAAACCAUGAAAUGCUCCUCAAAACAGUUAAAUUAGAGCAAAAAAGGGCAAAAAACAACAACAGUGCCAUGCUCUCCAGGAUCUCCUUGUUUCCUUGUGCCCAGCAAUACUCCCCAAGCAGCAAAAUGCCCCCCCAAAACUGCAAAAGCACAGAGAAAAUGUCUGUCUUCAACCAAGAUGAGCCACAAAAUGGCUCCUGCUUACAUGCUCCUUAGGAAUGCAUACAAUGGCGACAUGAAGUUACUUCACAGUCACUUAUGGACCUCUAGAAACCGUGGCUACAUGGGUUUUAACCCUUUUGUGUCAGCUGAUAAGGAAAUCAGGUGUCCUUUAGACACCCACAGAUACAGGAAAAUGUGGGUGGUGAGUCUGCAAAUAGCGAGGUUUCCCUGUAGAGCACAAAAGAAAGAAGGUGCCACUGUGGAUGUUUAUUGGGAUGAAUGACAGUAGAUGGAGGUGUGAGGUGUCUGCUAUACGGGGCCAGUGAUGGUGUCGCUUUAAACACGGUGGUGAAUUAAGAGUCCUCUGAUUUCUCAGAUAAACAGAUAUAUGCAUUUGAAGAGUGAAAUUUGAAAGGACAGAUGCCUCAAAAUCCUGAAGAAAUUUGUUAAGAGGACCAAUGACCAUUGCUGAGGCUAGUGACACAUCCUCUUUUAGGACAUCUCUUGGGCUAAUCUGCUCUUUGAGGGAGAGUUAGGCGAGGAGGAAGGAGGUGAGGUAGAGUUGGGUAGGAGAGAUAGAGGACAGAGACAGAGAGUGUGUGAGUCUGAGAGAGUGUUUGUGUCUCUGAGUGUGUUUUUGUGUGUUAGAGUGUUAGAGAUAGCAUUGGAAGGAAUAUAGGAGGGGGCAUAGUAAGCUUUUAGUAACAGGAGGGAUAGUUAGACAGGGAGGGAGAAAGGGAAAGAAAUGGGAGAGAAGAUGAGGGAAGAUUUCUUUGCCUCAAAAGUAGGAUUUUAUAGCAGUUUCGCCAUUCUCCUUCUGUUCCUGGGCCAGUUCUGACUAUAGUCCCCUGCCCACAUGAUUAGGAAUGGAACCAGGCAUGAACACACCUAUUGUUUAUGAUGCCCUCCAUGGAUGCCCCAACUGGACGAAAUCAAAGGUAUCCAUACAAUCCCCAUGAAAUUAUUCACACAUCAACUAGAGAAUGAGAGGCACCACCUCUCCAAAUGUGGUGCAAAUCCAUUGCAAACUGGUUGAGGUACAGCAGUUCAAAGCUUUAACUCAAAAAGAGGAUUCAAAGUGUUGGCAACCUUUUUUUCACCACAGAUAGAAGCUUUUCUCAUGACCAGCCUAACCCUGCCUGGGCUGCCCCCCAAGGAGGGUUAGACUGGUCAUGAGAAGCGGCAGGAUCCUCGCGGAUCCCUCUGCUCCCCUCCUGCCUAACCCCUUUAAUAAACCCAGCUUUUAGCAGAGGUACCAAGAAUUGUGUGAUUCCUCAGGCUAUGUGCAGCCCGAGGAGUCACAGAGACGGGCAAAUAGAGCACCCUUCUGAGGGGGCAAUCCCCAACCCAAUGUGUGUGCCACGUGUUGCAUUGAGGGGUAUCUGGAGGCCAGAACCAGUUCUGGCCCCAGAUCCUUCUGCCCUGCUCUGUGCUUCACGGAGUUGCACAGAGCAGGCCUGUCUAUGUGAGUGCGUGGGAGACGCGCUGAAGCCGACCUGCUUGGUCAUCUGGGGGAAGGUAAGUGUAAAGCAGCCUUCCCUCCGUGCCCGCCCAGGGCAAUCGUGUGAAUAGCCUUACUAUGUAUAUUUUAAAAUGUUUGGUGCCUCUUUACUGAUCCAUUCAGCUCCAUUCUGGAUUGGUGGUGCCUUUUGCUGGCUUGGAAAAUCAUCCACCCGGUAGUAUUUGAAUGAUUAUUGUUCGAAACUUCCACAAUAAUGGGGAAAAUAACUAAGGGAAAGUUAGCUAAGAGCAUAACAGUCUGCUAAUUGAGAAUUCUAAAAAUAUGAUAAAUAAAUAAAAUACAUUCUGAAGCCAAAGUUGGGAGGGGCAAGUCCUGGCAAUUUCUAGUGAGUGACUUCCUGGUUCUUCACUUGACCAUAUGUAAGAAAUGAAGCCUCCAUAUUCAAAGGCAUCUUGACUAUCAUGUAGAACAUCCAUGAUCAAGGGCAGUCUACACCACAAUAAUAGUUUGUUGGCACUGGUUUCUGGGAUUUCUUUACUGCUUUCUGAAAGCAUGUAGUUGAGCACUGUGAGAAAGAGGAUGCUGGGCUGAGUAUCCAUGCCUUUUCCAGCAACAUUUUGAUAACUGAAACUGCCAUUAUAUGUGCACAUCUAGAAGGAAGAAAACACCAUUAAACUCAGUGGGGCUUGCUUCCAUAUAAUGAGUGAACAGUUAAACAAUCCCUGAAAAAAGGUCUUAGAACAGGGCUGCUCAACUUCUUCUCUCCUGCAGAUGUUGGCCUACAGUUCCCAUAAUCCCUGGCUAUUGGGCACUGUGGCUGGGGAUUAUGGGAGUUCAGAAACAGCUGGGGGGCCUAAAUUGAGCAGGCCUGGUCUUAGGGGAGGGGAGAAUAAUGGAAAGGUCCUUUUGAAAAUGUGGGUGGAAAACAACAUAACGAUCCUGUGAGGUAAACCCACCAGCACACACACACACCCCCACUCAGGACAUAGAUUGUUUUCACAUAAUCUGAAAUUAGCUACAGCAUCCCACAGGGCAAAUAAUUUGUUAUUAAUAUUCUUGUUUUAUAUAUACUAAUUCCUCCUUUCCUACUUUGUAGAGAAUACAGAAAGAAAGAAAUUGAUUUACAUAAUGAACAUUACUCAAAGUAAUCCUACUGAAAUUAAAAGGACAUAUUAAGGAAAGUCUAGUGUCCUUUUAAUUGCAAAGAGACUACUUUGAGUGAGCCAUUAUCUUAUCAGCCAUUAACCAUUAAGUGGAGGCCUGAGGCUUAAAGGGGAGAAAUCUACUCUGUUUAUGCUUAGAGGCGAAGUCACUUGUGUACAACCUUUAAAAUGUACUUCUUUCUAGACAGCAGAAAAAGAGACAGACACUGAUAAAUAUCAUUUAAGGUUGCCACAACUUUAUUAAAAGGAGAAGAGCCAAGGGCAAAAGAGCUCAUAUCAACUCCUCAGGGCACAACUGCAGAGAAGUUAAAAUGGGCACCUUAAUUUGGAGUCCCCAUGCUUUUUAGAGCACAAGUGUAAAUAUGAAGCAUCUUAACUCUCAUCUUAAAAUUAAAAAGAAAAUUGGAUUACUGAAUUUGCAGGCAUUUUAAAAAGGGAAAUCUGAUCGGACACUAUAGGGAAGACCUUUGCCAUGCUGGUUCAGUGGAGUCUUCACAUUUUUUGGUGUUAUACCUUUGACGUUCAGACUGUUCAAAGACAGUUUGCCAGCACCUUAGGUCCAUCUAGCUCCAUAUUGUCUACACAGACUGGCAGCAGCUUCUCCAAGGUGGCAGGCAGGAGUCUCUCUCAGCCCUAUCUUGGAGAAGCCAGGGAGGGAACUUGGAGCCUAGAUGCUCUUCCCAGAGUGGCUCCAUCCCCUGAGGGGAAUAUCUUACAGCGCUCACACAUCAAGUCUUCCAUUCAGAUGCAACCAGGGCACACCCUGCUUAGCUAAGGGGACAAGUCAUGCUUGCUUCCGCAAGACCAGUUCUCCUCCCAGGCUUAAACCAGACUUAGUGCUCGUGUGUCAGUGCCACGUGGACUCCUGGCCAUCAUAUUGCACAGUGUAUUAUAGGAGUUCCAGGGUCUGGGAAGACGCAUCCCAACUCCCGACACUCCACGCUGCCGGCAGUAACCGGUAAUCGUCUGGGCGGGCAAUCCGCCUGCCGAGGAAGGAGACCUCAAUCGUCUGCCAGGGAGGUCUCUUUCAAGAACAGCUAAUAGACCUGCGGUCGGAAGACUCUUGCCGCAAAUGACGCUUUGAGUGAUCAGAGGAGAUGAUCAAACAGCCCGCUAUUUCCUCCUCCUCGGGUUGAUUGAAUGACUGGUAAAGAUAAGGGAGGAGAGCUCAUGGUAAACAAAAUAUUUGCACUUUUGCAUUGGGAUGCCUUAGUUUUGAGGGAGUGGGCAAAAAUAGAGCCAUUUGCACCACACACCCAUGCAGAGCUAGCUGAUGAUUUGGGGUAUAUCUGCCCUGAGCAAGCCACAUGAUUUUGGACUCUGUUAGGAUUAUAUUAUCCAAUAGACUCUCAUACAUGCGAGCUAUGGCUGCUGCCCCUUGCUCCUUUCCCCUUUCUUCUGCACCCUAUUCUCAGGGAGGCAUUUGGAUUGAACUUUGCACACCCAAUGCACCUAGGAUGGAUAGGCAUCGCCACAGCUAUCUCUCUCCAGGCUCUGCCACCUCUUUACCUCCCUCUCCACUCUUUCUACCCAGGCACUUUUAUCCAAGAUUUCUAAGUAAGCUCGCUUGAUUUUCUAUGAAAUACUAGCCAGUUUAUUAGGCCUCCUAACCAAACUCCCUUUUCUUUUUGUAACUCCCCAGUUUUACUUUAAAUAAAGCUUUGAAACUGUAAUCACAUCUCUCUCCUCAUUUCCAGUACUCAGACUUGCUUUAAUUAAUGCUGUGUCAGAACUUCACUCCAAUUUGAGUUAAUUUCCCUACUUUAACCCAAAAAGCAUAGCCAGAGCAUCCUGCCAGCACUUCUGUGCAGUUCUGGUAACAGAUGGGCACCUUAACUUGCAAUUUCCGAUCUCAAGUUAAAAUAUAAAGCAUCUUAACUCUCAUCUUAAACCAAAGGUUUUUAGAUUACUGAAUUAUAUUAGCAGAACUGUGACAUAAUGAAAGGUUCUUUGGUCAGAGUUUUCUCCACCAUAUUAGCUCCUUCUGUUACAGGAGGAUAAAUUUCCCUUUUUAUAGAAAAACUGCUGAUUUUGAUCAUUAUUAUUUGGAGGAUCCUGUAGUAUUUUAAGCCUUGUUUCACAAAGAAUAUUACCAAUGCCUUUAUUUAUUUAUUUAUUUAACUUAUAUACUGCCCAAACCUUUGUCUCUGGGCGGUUCCAGAUAAUAGGCUUAUUAUAGGCCUCAAUAACUAGGUUGGGCACAGAAUUUAUCUUCAGAAUACCACCUCCACUUUAGCAGCACAGAUCUCUUUUCUCUUUGUGCUUUGACAACACAUUGUUAUUAUGGGAUAUUUUAAGUCUGCAUACUUGGCAACACUCCACUCAGUCCAACAGAGUGUUCAGGAUCCAAAUUUUAAAGUUUUCAAAAUUAUAUUUUGACUAAAGUUCUAUAAAUUACCUACCAAAUAAUAUAAUCAUGUGAGCACAGAACACAAGGUAAAACUUCCUGAUGUUGAGCACCAAAAACAUAAUUGAAGCUGUUACAAAGAUUAAUCCCCCCACACACACACAAACACGCAUAAAAUCCCACAAUUAAAUGAAAUUAUAGGAUUCAUAAUCGUGGCAGUGUGAUCCCACCUCAUGAUUAUUCAGCAGUAAAUAAAGGACACAACAAGGAACAUAGGAAGCUGCCGUAUACUGAGUCAGACCACAGGUCCAUCAAUCUAAUUAUUGUUUACCCAGACUGGCAGCGGCAUCUCCAAGGUUGCAGGCAGGAAUAUCUCUCAGCCCUAUCUUGGAGAUGCCAGGGAGGGAACUUGAAACCUUCUGCUUUUCCCAAAGCAGCUCCAUCCCCUGAGGGGAAUAUCUUCCAGUGUUCACACAUCAAGUCUCCCAUUCAUAUGCAACCAGGGCACACCCUGCUUAGCUAAGGGGACAAGUCAUGAUUGCUACCACAAGACCAGCUCUCCUCUCCUGGUAAUUUGUGUUCACUUUAAAUCUGCACUUCAUUUCCCCCCUUUAUCUUAAACACACACACACACACACACACACACCAAUGAUCAUUAAAAACAACAACUGUUUUAGACUCCAUGUCCAAAACUAGAUUCUCUUCUCAGAAAUUUCCCACAAAUCUCACAGUUCUCCUGCUUGAUUUAAUUCCCUCCAGGAUGGUGUUAUCAGCAAAGCUGUCUCCUGAAACAGUGGUAGGCCUUAAGUCAAUCUGGCUGAAAUCGUAGGCCUUACUCUGCUUUAUUAGCCAUUUAGAGAACACCCCCCCCAUCUUGAAACCCCAACUCUUUUAAGGGAUGGAAACUUAGAAGAGCCCUUGUAUCUUCUUCCUUUUCUCCUUCCUUCCCUCAGGCCAGGCAGGCCUUGAGAAGCAGCAGCCCCCACCCCCUUUCCAGGGCCUGUUCUCUGGCUACGCUUGAGCUCUGAGCAGCUGAUAUGUGCUCUUCUGACUUUAGCUCUUCUUCUUCUAAUUAAAUUGUGCCAUGUUCAGGCAGCUGUAUCUACCCAAUUUCUCAGUCACUGUUCAGUAUCUUGAAACCUACUGGGCUACCUGUAUUGAUGCCCUGGCUGUUCUGCAAUAAUUCCCUGUCCCUUUGGUCUCCUCCCCAUGCAAAUGUCUGCUUAAGGGUCUUUUUCUCACUUUUUCCCUGCUCUCUUCUAGGCUGUGAAGAGUCUUCAGCUUCUGCAGGAGGCUGCAUAAGGUUGCCCCCAUCAAUGACUCCAUUAAGGGCAAGUCCCCCAAAUGGAAGUUCGGGGGGGGGGAAUCAGCUACAUUGAACGAACUUCAGCAUAGAGUUACCAGUCUUGGAGUUCCCAAAUGGAAGUUCUGGAAAAAAAUUUAGCUACAUUGAACCAACUUCAGCAUGGAGUUCCCAGUCUUCAGGAAUCAUCAUAAGUGAGGAGGUACCCCAGGCUCCUGGGGAAUUAUUGGGACUUGGGUUAAAUGUUUUAGGAGGGCGGGGCAGCUAGUGCUUAGGAGCCUGACAGAUUUGUGAGUCUGAAUUAAAAGUGGUGUGUUAGGCUUAAAGAAGGUGUGUUCGGAUUAAAGAAGCGAAGACAAAUGGAAAAGAGACUCUGGACAAUGAGAAAGAUGAGGCUGCUGAAGCCAUUUUGGUGGGUGAAAUGCAGCAGAGAAUGGAAGAGAAUGACCAAGCAUAGGCUCAGUCAAAACCUGACUACCAAGACUGUGUGGGGCUGGAGCUAUCCUAAUGAAGUCCAUGAAUACUGACAGAUUCUCUUCUGCUCUUUGACCUCUCCCAGGAGAUCAUGCAGAAAGCCAAUUUACAUCUGGACCCUGGGUUCCUAUCGACACCUGCAAUAGACACCAUCACAGAGCUAAAGUAUACUCAUUGUCAUUAGGGUUUUAAUUGUAGGGGGUUGUGUCAGGAAAGCGUAGUGGCAAACUAGACCAGUUCUGUAGUGGGACUUCCCCUUUAAAAAAAUAUGGCAAUUCUAAGGGUUAAAUAAAAUUUGGUUAAGUACUAUGGAUUUACUGUAACCUUAAGAGGCGCAGUGGGGAAAUGCUUGACUAACAAGCAGAAGGUUGCUGGUUCAAAUCUCUGCUGGUACUAUAUCAGGCAGUAGCGAUAUAGGAAGAUGCUGAAAGGCCAUCAUCUCAUACUGCAUGGGAAGAGGCAAUGGUAAACCCUUCCUGUAUUCUACCAAAGAAAACCACAGGUGCCAGGAGUCAAAAUCGACUUGACAGCACACUUUACUUAUUAUGGAUUUAUCCAAAUCAGAGCCUCCACAAAACUAGAUCUGUCAUUUUUGAAAAAAGAGAAGAAAGGCAUCAAAGACCUACAGCAUUUAUGUUUGCCUAGUUGCCACUUUUCUCUUAUAUAUGUGAGCGUUGGUUGACUGGAUCACCAGUCCUCACACUACAAAAUCUAAUAUUUUUCUUUCCAGCUAAAUGAAGCCAGCUUUGCCAUUCAAACUAAAACAGCAAUCCUGCACAUGGUAGUGACAGCAUUACGCCAGCUGGACCCAGGGACAGACAGUCAAGUAAAUUCUUAUUGAGCUUUUUUCUCCUGUGGCACAAACUCCUGCUGUUUCGGCUCCUGGGGUCCUGUCUCUUUUGAGACCACUGAAGAAUCUUUUAUAUAAACAAACCAUGGCGGCACUCCAGAGGAUGAUCAGAGGAGUGCUGGAUGAGGCUCCCUCUGUUGAGAACUUAAUCAAAAUGUUGAAUCUGGAAACAUUGAAGGAUUGUUUUCCUAAGGAAGUGAGGAACCUUCAUUUUCAAGAGGAGUUGGCUCAGGAGAAGAAAAGCACCAUCAAAGCUGGAAACAUUGAAGGAUUAUUUUCCUAAGGUGAGGACACUUCGUUUUCAAGAGGAGUUGGAUCAAGAGAUUAAAAGCACCAUCAAAGAUAACGUCUAUUUCCAGGGAACUGGGGAAGGCAGAACUGUAUUCUUAGAAGCCCAGAAUGGGCCCGGGCGACUCGUUCUCCACAACAAAGGCCACCAUUCAUUCAAGGAGUAUCAGUUUUGCUCUGACAUCUCUGUGGCAGGCCUCCUGAGAGGGCAGGUCUCAAACUUCCAACCCUUCUCAUAGAGGCAAACAGUUCUUUCUGAAGAAGUCCUUGCAGCUAGACUAGAGGUCUAGAAGCCAUUGUUGCCCCUCGCCUUGGCAACCCCAGUGGAAAAAGUGACCCAUUAGACCCUCUUCCAUUUAUUCAACAUACAGAAGUCCCUUCUCACCUCUUAUCUAAGUUGGUUAAAAUAAGAAUAUUAAAUAUUUUUCUUGACCUCUUCAGACUAUCUCAUAUUAGAAGAUUUUAAUGAAGAGGAGGAGUUUGGCUGAUUGCCCAUUUUCUUUUUUUAAUGUUACGAUCUAAUAAAACAGUAGUUUAUUUAGCAAGCA